AGGAAGGUUCCAUUAUUGGUAAAAUGGGUUGAGCUGUAAACUCAAUAGCAAUAUGCUUGUAUGAGUUCGAAUCUCUUGCUUCCUA
rfam:Talaromyces stipitatus ATCC 10500 scf_1105507295503 genomic scaffold, whole genome shotgun sequence.